UACGGGGGGGAGCAAGCGUUGUUCGGAUUUACUGGGCGUAAAGGGCGCGUAGGCGGUCAGCACAAGUCAGUUGUGAAAUCUCCGAGCUUAACUCGGAAAGGUCAACUGAUACUGUGCGACUAGAGUGCAGAAGGGGCAACUGGAAUUCUUGGUGUAGCGGUGAAAUGCGUAGAUAUCAAGAGGAACACCUGCGGCGAAGGCGGGUCUCUGGACAGUUCCUGACGCUGAGGCGCGGAAGGCCAGGGGGAGCAAACGGG
rnacentral:rRNA from 1 species